rnacentral:rRNA from 1 species
AACGAACGCUGGCGGCAUGCCUAACACAUGCAAGUCGAACGAGACCUUCGGGUCUAGUGGCGCACGGGUGCGUAACGCGUGGGAAUCUGCCUAAAGGUUCGGAAUAACAGUUAGAAAUGACUGCUAAUACCGGAUGAUGUCUUCGGACCAAAGAUUUAUCGCCUUUAGAUGAGCCCGCGUAGGAUUAGCUAGUUGGUGGGGUAAAGGCCUACCAAGGCGACGAUCCUUAGCUGGUCUGAGAGGAUGAUCAGCCACACUGGGACUGAGACACGGCCCAGACUCCUACGGGAGGCAGCAGUGGGGAAUAUUGGACAAUGGGCGAAAGCCUGAUCCAGCAAUGCCGCGUGAGUGAUGAAGGCCUUAGGGUUGUAAAGCUCUUUUACCCGGGAUGAUAAUGACAGUACCGGGAGAAUAAGCCCCGGCUAACUCCGUGCCAGCAGCCGCCGUAACAC